rnacentral:rRNA from 1 species
UGCAGUCGAACGAGUUCUGAUUAUUGAAAGGUGCUUGCAUCUUGAUUUAAUUUUGAACGAGUGGCGGACGGGUGAGUAACACGUGGGUAACCUGCCCUUAAGUGGGGGAUAACAUUUGGAAACAGAUGCUAAUACCGCAUAAAUCCAAGAACCGCAUGGUUCUUGGCUGAAAGAUGGCGUAAGCUAUCGCUUUUGGAUGGACCCGCGGCGUAUUAGCUAGUUGGUGAGGUAACGGCUCACCAAGGCAAUGAUACGUAGCCGAACUGAGAGGUUGAUCGGCCACAUUGGGACUGAGACACGGCCCAAACUCCUACGGGAGGCAGCAGUAGGGAAUCUUCCACAAUGGACGCAAGUCUGAUGGAGCAACGCCGCGUGAGUGAAGAAGGCUUUCGGGUCGUAAAACUCUGUUGUUGGAGAAGAAUGGUCGGCAGAGUAACUGUUGUCGGCGUGACGGUAUCCAACCAGAAAGCCACGGCUAACUACGUGCCAGCAGCCGCGGUAAUACGUAGGUGGCAAGCGUUAUCCGGAUUUAUUGGGCGUAAAGCGAGCGCAGGCGGUUUUUUAAGUCUGAUGUGAAAGCCCUCGGCUUAACCGAGGAAGUGCAUCGGAAACUGGGAAACUUGAGUGCAGAAGAGGACAGUGGAACUCCAUGUGUAGCGGUGAAAUGCGUAGAUAUAUGGAAGAACACCAGUGGCGAAGGCGGCUGUCUGGUCUGUAACUGACGCUGAGGCUCGAAAGCAUGGGUAGCGAACAGGAUUAGAUACCCUGGUAGUCCAUGCCGUAAACGAUGAAUGCUAGGUGUUGGAGGGUUUCCGCCCUUCAGUGCCGCAGCUAACGCAUUAAGCAUUCCGCCUGGGGAGUACGACCGCAAGGUUGAAACUCAAAGGAAUUGACGGGGGCCCGCACAAGCGGUGGAGCAUGUGGUUUAAUUCGAAGCAACGCGAAGAACCUUACCAGGUCUUGACAUCUUUUGAUCACCUGAGAGAUCAGGUUUCCCCUUCGGGGGCAAAAUGACAGGUGGUGCAUGGUUGUCGUCAGCUCGUGUCGUGAGAUGUUGGGUUAAGUCCCGCAACGAGCGCAACCCUUAUGACUAGUUGCCAGCAUUUAGUUGGGCACUCUAGUAAGACUGCCGGUGACAAACCGGAGGAAGGUGGGGAUGACGUCAAAUCAUCAUGCCCCUUAUGACCUGGGCUACACACGUGCUACAAUGGAUGGUACAACGAGUUGCGAGACCGCGAGGUCAAGCUAAUCUCUUAAAGCCAUUCUCAGUUCGGACUGUAGGCUGCAACUCGCCUACACGAAGUCGGAAUCGCUAGUAAUCGCGGAUCAGCACGCCGCGGUGAAUACGUUCCCGGGCCUUGUACACACCGCCCGUCACACCAUGAGAGUUUGUAACACCCGAAGCCGGUGGCGUAACCCUUUUAGGGAGCGAGCCG